rnacentral:piRNA from 1 species
UGCUAUGUGCCACAUGAGUGCCUUUGAAUC